GCCUUCGUGGUGUAACGGUAGCACACUCGGCGCGUAUUCGAGAGGUCCAGGUUCGAGUCCCGGCGAGUGCA
rfam:Stegodyphus mimosarum contig79869, whole genome shotgun sequence.